AGAGUUUGAUCAUGGCUCAGAUUGAACGCUGGCGGCAUGCCUUACACAUGCAAGUCGAACGGCAGCACGGGAGCAAUCCUGGUGGCGAGUGGCGAACGGGUGAGUAAUACAUCGGAACGUGCCCAGUCGUGGGGGAUAACGCAGCGAAAGCUGUGCUAAUACCGCAUACGAUCUACGGAUGAAAGCAGGGGACCGCAAGGCCUUGCGCGAGUGGAGCGGCCGAUGGCAGAUUAGGUAGUUGGUGAGGUAAAGGCUCACCAAGCCUUCGAUCUGUAGCUGGUCUGAGAGGACGACCAGCCACACUGGGACUGAGACACGGCCCAGACUCCUACGGGAGGCAGCAGUGGGGAAUUUUGGACAAUGGGCGCAAGCCUGAUCCAGCCAUGCCGCGUGCAGGAUGAAGGCCUUCGGGUUGUAAACUGCUUUUGUACGGAACGAAACGGCUCUUUCUAAUAAAGAGGGCUAAUGACGGUACCGUAAGAAUAAGCACCGGCUAACUACGUGCCAGCAGCCGCGGUAAUACGUAGGGUGCAAGCGUUAAUCGGAAUUACUGGGCGUAAAGCGUGCGCAGGCGGUGAUGUAAGACAGUUGUGAAAUCCCCGGGCUCAACCUGGGAACUGCAUCUGUGACUGCAUCGCUGGAGUGCGGCAGAGGGGGAUGGAAUUCCGCGUAGCAGUGAAAUGCGUAGAUAUGCGGAGGAACACCGAUGGCGAAGGCAAUCCCCUGGGCCUGCACUGACGCUCAUGCACGAAAGCGUGGGGAGCAAACAGGAUUAGAUACCCUAGUAGUCC
rnacentral:rRNA from 1 species